UUCAUUGGUGCCCUGGCCAUCCAAUGCUAUCUAUCCUCAGCCAUCUUCUCCCAUAAAUUGCGGGUGGAUAAGAGGAGUAUGACUUCAGGAUGAAUAUGGGGCUUAAAAGCAUGCGUCUCUGUUCUUGGGAGAAGCUUUACAUUUAUUUUUUAAAGUUUACAGUCUCUCAGAGGCCAUAGUCCAACCCAUUCUCUUCUUGUUCGAUCCAUCGACCAACAGGCAUUUAAAUUUCUGCUGAGGACCGGACACUGUGUUAGGUUCUAGGGAUGCAGUGCCUGUUCAAGAUAUAAAAAAGGAAGAAAACAAGCAUUUGUUAGAUGCCUACUACAUGCCAGGUCAAGAUUGGUUCCUACAGUCCACUGGAAUUCAGCAGCAUCUUGUUGCAGCAACUUUAUAACUGUUAUUUCUGAAAGGCUGUCCUUCUCCCCACUGUUACUUGACAUCAUUCCAGUGCACUUUUUGCUGUGCCACAGAUGGUCAUCUUCACUGCCUCAUCUCAAACCCCGAGAGGACACUCAAGCUAUUGGAAGCCUUGCUCAAAUUCUCCUGAUGUCAGGAGGGUACUAGUGAAGCACUCCAGCCAUCUAAUUGUCACCUCAGGUAACCAGCCUAUCUUCUCUUCCUAGCAAUCAUUUUCUCCAUGAAAUAUUUACUCUAAUUCUUCUAAAUUCCUCAUUACAGUAUUUAUAUGUUGUAGCCCACUCACAUUGACCAUGUAUUUCUCCAUGACCUUAGUAUGAGAAGCAUUUUUAAUUCUUCAGAAGCCAUAACAUUCUGGUUGCCAUGGAGCAAAGCUGGCAUACUGGUCUUUGAAAAGAUAAAUAUUUUUUCCAUGGAAAAUUUGAAAUCAUUAAAAGAACUUAGCAAUUUUUAAAGGAAAUCUAGCCCAUUCUCCUUCUCUGAUUCAAUUCUGGUCCAACUAGUUGUCCAUCUGCAAUGGAUAUUCAUAUUGAUGGACAAAUUCUAUGGGUUGUCCAUCUAAAUGAAAUAAACAUUCUUUAUCCACUUAGAGAAAGAUCAUUUUAACAUGCAUUUUUUACAAUAAUCUUUGGGAAAGCAUACUAUCUUUUCCAAAAGUCUAUUACAGUUUUAUUUGGGGUGUUUGGUUUUGUAUGAGCAUGCUCUUACAACAAUGACCAAUAUGGAAAUGUGUUUUUCAUGAUAAUACAUGAAAGGCCCAGAUCAAAUUGCUUACCAUCUCAGAGAGAAGGGAUGGAAGAAAGGGAAGAAGGGAGAUGGCUUGGAUAUUAUAAUUUUGAAAAAUGUGUGUUGAAAAUUAUUAUUACAUAUAAUUAGGAAAAUAAAAUAUCUUUGAAUUAAAAAAAAACCUUUGCAAAUCUUUCCUAUUUUUUUAAUUAUUUGUUGCCCUCUUUCUAAUUUCCACCUUUAAAUGCGGUGGAGAUGAAUUUGCUUGGUUGGAUCUCUUGAAAAUUUUUAUUUAAAUUAGUCUUAUCCCUCCCUACCGCUUAUGUCUGCUUUAUGAGAUGGAACCACCCAUAAUCAUCCAUUGAAUUUCUUUAUAAUGUUUGACAAAUGUGAUUAUAUUCUAAAUUGGCUUUGCCCUUGACUUCCAUCUUGUUGUGGAAAUGGGUUUUCUGCAAUUAAACUUUUGUCUAUAUUGUUAUAAUCUGUUUAUAUUUUUACCAUUUUUAUUACUAAUUAAUUGCUUAUUUGUUUUUUAAUCCUUACUUUCUGUCUUGGAAUCAAUAUUAAAUAUCACUUCCAAGACAGAAGAGAGGUAAGGGCUACAACAGUUGGAAUUAAAUGACUUGCCAAGGGUCACAUAGCUAAGAAGUACCUGAAGCCAGAUUUGAACACAAGAGGACUUGGAGUUUUAAACUCCAUUACUUAUAGCUUAAAAAGAUUUUGAUUUGUAGCCACCUAAUUUCCCCAAUCAACAUUUUUAAACUAUAAAUAACGGAGUUUACCAUUUCAUUUGUGAUAUUUGUGAAUUAUUUUUCUUGUGUAGUUGAAUGUUUUUUUGUGAAUGGUUACUAUGUUUAAAAAGAGGGAGAAAGAGAAGAGAAAUGGUCUUUCACCCAGACACUCCCUUUGUACAACACCCAGUCUGGGGAUACCUUUGCCCCUUAGGCCUCCUGGCACAACCUCCUUUUCCCUAUGUCCUAUUGAGAGACUCAUGUAAAGAUUGAACUCUACAAGGGAAAUGGCAGAGAUACCUCACAAAUACUAGUCCCCAAAAGUAGGUUUAGAUCAACAUCUCACACCCUAUACUAAGAUAAAUUCAAAAUGGGUAGAUGACAAAUAUAAGGAGUGAAAUCACAAAUGAAUUAGAACACAGAAUAGUAUACCUGUCAGAUCUAUGAGAAAGGAAGGAAUUCGAGACCAAGAAAGAGAUAGAGAACAUUACAAGAUGUAAAAUGAAUAAUUUUUAUUAUAUUAAAUUUAAAAGAUUUUGUACAAACAAAAUCAAUGCAAUCAGAAGGGAAGCAACAAAGUGGGGGGAAAUUUUAUAACAAAAUUCUCUGACAAAGGUCUAAUUUCCCAAAUAUAUAAGGAACUAAGUCAAAUUAACAAUAAAUCAAGCCAUUCCCCAAUUGGCAAAUGGUCAAGGGAUAUUAAUAAGUAGUUUUCAGAUGAAGAAAUCAAAACUAUCAAUAAUCACAUGAAAAAGUGUUCUAAAACCCUCCUAAUUAGAGACAUGCAAAUCAAAACAACUCUGAGGUACCACCUCACACCUAGCAGAUUGGCCAAUAUGACAGUAAAGGAAAAUAAUAAAUGUUGGAGGGGAUGUGGCAAAAUUGGGACACUGAUGCAUUGCUGGUAGAGUUGUGAACUGAUUCAACCAUUCUAUAAGGCAAUUCAGAAUUGUGCCCAAAGGGCUUUAAAAGAUUGCAUGUCCUUUGAUCCAGCCAUACCACUGCUAGGUUUGUACCUCCCAAAGAGAUUUUUUUUUAAUGUUUAUACAAAAAUAUUUAUAGCAGUGUUUUUUGUGUUGGCAAAAAAAUUAGAAAAUGAGGGGGUGUCCCUAAACUGGGGAAUGGUGGUAUAUGUUGGAAUACUAUUGUGCUAUAAGGAAUGAUGAAUUGCUUGAUUUCUAUAUGAACUAGAAAGACCUCCAUGAACUGAUGAUGAGCAGAAAUGAGCAGAAGCAGAAGAACAUUGAACACAGAAACUGAAACAUUGUGGGAUGAUCAAAUGUAAUAAUAGAUUCUGCUACUAAUAGCAAUGCAAUGAUCAAGAAUGAUCCUGUGGAACCUAUGAAAAAAUGUUGUCCACAUCUAGAGAAAGAACUGAGGGAGCAGAAAUGCAGAAGGAAAACAUAUGAUUUAUCACUUGGUUAUAUGGGUAUAUGACUCGGGGUUGUGGUUUUAAAAGGUUAUUCUAUUACAGAUAUGAAUAAUAUGGAAAUAGGUUUUGAGUAAAAAGACAUGGAGUUGCUUGUCAGCUCCUGGAGGGGGGAGGGAAGAGGAAAAGGAAAGAAAAUUAAUCAUGUAACCACAGAAAAAUAUUCUUUCAAAAAUUAAAUAAUGUGAAAAAAAAAACAAAUAGUAGUCCCCUCUACAAAGAAACACAGAACCCUAGAAUUGGAAGGAGCCAUCUAAUUUAACCUGCUUUAAUUUAAUUUAAUUUAAUUUAACUUGAUUAAUUUAAUCAGAAUGGAAACACCCACUUUAAUAUCCCAUCAGUUGACCAACAGUCUCUGCUCAAAAACCUCCAAAGGGGCAAUUUGGAAUUAUGCCCAAAGGGCUAUAAAACAGUGCAUACUCUUUGAUCCAGGGACACCAUUACUAAGUCUAUAUCCCAAAGAGAUUUUUUUUAAUGAGAAAGAACCUGUCUGUAUAAAAUAUUUAUAGCUACUCUUUAAGUGGUGACAAAGAAUUGGAAACUAAAGGGAUGCCCAUCAAUCCGGGAUGGGUGAACAAAUAGUGGCAUAUGAUAGUGAUGGAAUUCUAUUGUGCAGUAAGGAAUGACAAACAGGAUGAUUUCAGAAAGAACUGGAUAGACCUUCAUGAACUGAUGCAGAGUGAAACAGCAGAACCAGGAGAAUAUUAUACAAAACAAUUGCAAUAUUGUGGAACAAUGAAAUAUGAUAGACUUUGCUAAUCUCAGCAAUACAAUGAUCCAGGACAAUGUUAAAGAAUGCUAUCCAUCUCCAGAGAAAAAACUGGUAGAGUAAGGAUGCAGAUGAAGCACAUGAUUUUUCACUCAUUUAUUUGGGUUUAUGUUUUGGGGUUUUGGUUUUAUAAAAUUAUUUACUUACAAAAAUGAAUAAUAUGGAAAUAGGUUUUGCAUGAUAAUGCAUGUAUGACUCUGAUUCAAAGUUUGCUUGCCAGUUUAGGGAGGGGAAGGGAAGAAGGGAAGAAGACCAUUUGUAUCAUAUAACUUCAGAAAACUCAUGUGGAAAUGUGCUAUUAAAAUCAAAGACCUCCAGUAAUGCAGUACUCUACCAUUUGAGACAGACCAUUCCAUAUAGGAAAGGGAGCUAAGUGGGAAGAACAGUGGAUAGAGAGCUAGGCCUGGAGUGAGGAAGACAUGAAUUCAAAUCUGGCCUUAGAUAUUUGUGUGUGUGACCCUGGGCAAGUCAAUUAAUCCUGUUUAUCUUAGUUUCUUCAUCUGUAAAAUGAGUUGGAGAAGAAAAUGGCAAACCGUUCUAUUGCCUCUGCCAAGAAAACUUCAAAUGGGGUCACAAAGAGACAGACCUAACUGAAAAGACUGAAGAACAACAAUAAUUACAUUUUGAGGAAGUUUUUUUUUUCCUUACACAGAAAUAACUAUCUGUCUAUGCAACUUCUUCCCAUGGUUCUUAGUUCUGCUCUGUGGGGCCCAAGAGAAUAGGUUUUAGGCUUCUUUCACAUAUAGCUUUCAGAUACUCAAAAGAUAGCUAUCAUGUUUCCAAUUAAAACUUUUCUUCCCUAGAUCCAGAGUCACCUAGCUGCCCCUGUUAAUUUAUUAUUAUUUUUAAAUCCAUACCUUCCACAUUAGAAUCAAUGUGUAUUGAUAAAGGCUAUACAAUGGGGGUUAAGUGACUUGCCCAGGGUCACACAGCUAGGAAGCGUUUGAGGCCAAAUUUGAAUCCAGGACCUCUUGUCUCCAGGCUGGUGCUUUAUCUCCUGAGCACCUAGCUGAUUCCUGUUAAUUCAUUUUUUAAUAAACUCAAGCUUGUGAAUAGGAAUAGACAUAGAGAUGCAAGGGACUUCAUAGGCCAUCUAAUCUGACCCCCUCGUUUUACAGAUGAGGAAACUGAGGCCCAAUGGGGUUAAGCAAUUUUCUCAAGAUAUCACUAGUGGACAAUGGUAGAGCUAAGAUUCAAAACCAGAUCUUCUGAUUACAAAUCCAGCAGUCUUUUUACUUUAUGCAUUGCUUUAGUGUCAUUUAAUUCUGGCUGCUUUUUAGUUGGCAUAGAAUUGGCACCAGGUUAGAAAUAUCUUUAGUUAUUUCACAGAAUGCUAUCUAUUAUAGUCUGCCAAACCACAAAACAUGCCUGGAAUAUCAUGUUCAGUUUUAAGUGCUGUAUUUUUUUAAAAAGACUGACAAAUUGGAAUAGGGUUUGUUAUUUUCUUUCCAGAGAAAGGAAGGCCAAAUUAGUGAGAGGAGUAGAAGCUUGGAUGCCACACAAAAAUCAGGAGGGAGAGAGAGGGAGGAGGGAGGGAGGGAGAGAAUAAAGGAGGGAGGG